GGGGUGGGGGUGGGGGUCAAUACUGGAAGUACACUGAUGAAAAACAACACAAUCUCUGCUCUUCAGGAAUCUACUUGGGGAGAUGUAGUAUCUACACAUACAGGAAGGCAUGUGAAAGAAUGAAGAUUGUCCUGGAUUUGGACUGAGGACCCCAAUUUGCAUUCUGACUGCACUAUUUAUCAUCACUCAACCCCUGGGUUUUCUGAAGUCUUGAAUUGUGAAUGGUUAAUGCUCUAGACACCUCCACCCUCUAGGAAAGAAUGGGGCUGAGCAAGGACUGUAAGGAACUAAGUAAGAAGCUACAUGGUUCAGAAGACUUGAGCAACAGAUUCUAAUCACAGGAAAAGACACUGAUAACAAGCCCAAGUCACUACAUGGAUUCGAAAGGACUUCCCCUAUGUUUUGGGAGAGAGGCCUGAGUUCCUCAUUCUCAUUUCUACCUGUUGAGAGCCAUGGUGACAGUUGCUCCUUGCUGCAUCUCCUGGGAAGCUGCCACAGCCGCCUCUGCCAAUGAUGCCACUGCCUGGGUUGCUUCUGAGGCCUGUGUUGUCUGGAUGGUCAUCUCACCCCCCUGUAGUGUGGCCCAAUUUUGUUCUACCUGUGGUAACACAAAGAGAAAAGUCAACAAUAACUGACACCAAAGGCAGACAAGUCCAAAUAAAAUAAUUCCAUCAA